rnacentral:tRNA from 1 species
UGGGGUGCAGCUCAGUGGCAGAGCACUUGCCUAGCAUGUGUGAGGCCCUAGGUUCCACCCCCAGCACCCCAC